rnacentral:lncRNA from 1 species
GAUAACCCCAAGCAUCUUCGUUCACAGUGAAUUGAGGAUGUUGAUGAGUUUGAUAUCCGUGCCCAUAAGGCACACCACAUGUAGGGACAUUUUGCAUUGUAGUCCUUCCGGCAAUCUGUGACAAUUGAGAAGUAAGAUUCGCCAAUUGAGCUUGAAUGUUAGCAAAAUCCAUGUCUUACUUCUCUAGACCCUGAAAUCAAAGAAAACUAAAUCAAAUAUCAAAAGUAACACAAAACAAGGAAAACAAAACUAAGUCAGAAACUAAAACAAAAACAAACUAAACAAACAGAAAAGAACCAAGGGAUUAGCAAAGUUGCUAAUCCCCGGCAACGGCGCCAAAAUUUGAUGUGAGAAUUACUUGACACACAAAUUAACCCUCUUUUUGACAAUUGUAGUAUAGAUGUAAGUAGGGUAUCGUUCUAGGCCGGGGAUUAGGAGGGAUUGCUAAUCUAUUCUAAAUUAAUUUAAAAUAUUAAACAAGACUCAAGGACACAAAACUAGGCUAAAAACUCUAAUAACUCGAAACACACUUAGAAUGACUCAAAAUAAUGAAAACAAUCAAAUUAGACACUAGGAACUGAAAUGGACGGAAAUUGAAUUAAAAUACUAACAACAAUGAAAACUAACUAAAUAAUAUAAUUUAAUAAUGGGGGGGUUUGGUUUUGACGAGAAGUAAAUUAAACUUAAAUAAAUUACAGAAUUGACAAAAGCAUGAAAUUAAGGUGAAAGGAUAGGUGACGGACUAGCUAGAAGGUUUUUCUCCACACAUGACACAUAUGCAACCUAAAUUGAUUUUCAGUUGUUCUUUCAAUAAAUUGUGAAUGACAAUGUUCCAAGUUAAUUAGGUCCGCUUAAAUUAACUCUUAGAUUUCCCUAGAUUCAUUGGAUUGAAUGGAAUACGCAUUACAACCAAAUUAUUCCUCAUCAAAAUCCCUAACUAUGGAAUACGCAUGAUAGAGACAUUCAACAAAGAUCAUUAAGUUCAACGGAAAUCAUAAACAUUGACUAGGCAUUCAUAACUAUGGAAUACGCAUGUUAAUCCAGCCUAGAAUCCACUUAACACGAUUGUGGAUAACAACCUUCACUACUUGUGAAUAUAAGUUCAUAACGAUUAGGUGAAACUCCCUUAUAUUCUAGCAUCAAAUUCAUGCAUGAAAAUUAAGCGUGCACUCUUAAUCGACAUACACAAAUUAGUUAUCAAUCAAGCAGUUAAGCAAAUUAAAUCACAACUCAGAAAUCACAACUGAAGGUAAUCAAUUCAUAUUACAAAUAUAUUCAUGGCUUUGAAUUAACCUCUAGCCAAAAAGAAAUUAGUUCCACAUGUUUAACAUAAUUGAACAGCAAGUUAAAUUAAACAUGAACAUAGAAUUAAAAGAAGAAAGAAUUCCAAACACUCUAAUAGUUGCAGAUUGCAUAAGCACGGCACUACUCCUCCUCUCCUUCAAUGGUGGCGGCACAAGGUGGUUAUGGUGGUUGAAUGGUUGGUUAUAUGGAGGAAUGGAUGGGGAAGGUUUAGAUAUGUAGGGAGAGGCAAAGGAAGGCUUGGAGAAUGGUUAAUUUCUGGAUGAUUUGAAUGAGGUUGCUGCCAUGGUAUUUAUAGGAAAAGGAUGGACUUGUUUAACACAAAAUUUUGGUGGAAUUGAGUAGGUGAGCAUGGCAAAGAGUGGGAAUUGUUGGUGGGUUAGGUAUUGAGUCAUCCAUUCACAUGUCAUGGUGAGUUAAGCAUUGCAUCAUCCACUCACAUGUCAUGGUGAUUUAAGCAUUGCAUCAUCACUCAAAUUUCUGGUGAAAGUGAAUCAAUGCCCACG